AGCUUUGCGCAGUGGCAAUAUCAUAAUCAAUGAGGUUAAUCCGAGAUGUGAUUAUUGCUAGUUGAAAACUUUAACCAAUACCCCGCCACGAUGGAGUGAAAUACCGUCCGCUAUGGCAAUUUUUGAACGGCCGUAAUGGC